ACCCAGCUCUAGAACCAGAACUUUAGGAUAUACAGCUAAGAUAGAGAAGAUGACCUUUCUCUUCGAUUCAGAGAGAGUCAGCCAAUCGCCAGCCUAGGUGCGGUGACGCCUCCGGGAGCUGGUAGAUUCUCUCGGGGUCAGCCCGCUGGCGGUGGGCCGCGCGCCCCCUAGAUCCUGGAGCUACCCUCUUCCCCGUGAACUCAGGGAGCACUUUGACUGAGAGACUGUCCUCCUCACACCUCAGCACCCAGGACAAGAUUCAGGGGACAGAAAGGGUCCCACCUUUCCUGUGCGGACGAAGGCCUCGGCCACCUUUCGGUUCCGCCCUCCAUAGCAGGUAGUGAUGAGGUCGGCAACACCACAGCUCUCCAAGAAGGUGGCAGACGACACAGGGCCACUGCAGAAGAGCUUGGCAAAGGCGAUCAUCUCCAUGAGGCCCAGCCGGAUCACCGCUGCCUUGGUGUUGUCACCAAAGCCCAGCCCAUCACAGAAGCCAGCUCCCACGGCCACUAUAUUCUUUGGGCAGUGGAGGUCACAGGUGAGAAAGGAUCCCUUCUUGCAGGCCCGUCGAGCACCAGCCUCACGCUCCUUCCAUCAGCCAUUGAAAUAUAGUGGGUGUACUCCUCAA